CCGACCGAUAGCCGCUACCGCCGCUGCCGCCGCCACCACCGCCGUCAUCGCCGUCUCCGUUUCUUCCGUACGCGGUUCGCGCGCCAACCACACGCGUUUCGGUCAGCCGACCGUUUUCCGCAUGUGACCGUUUCGCCCGUAGUACACGCCACUGCGCCAACUGCUGUGACGACCGGGUAGCCGUGCGACGUUAUCGUUUUGGUUUCUCUCUCUCCCCCCCUCCAAUUUAUAAUCGAGGGGAAAAAUCCCGAAGAAAAUCGCGUUCGCGCGACAUGAGUUCCGUGUGCGUCGCGUUUUCGCACUGGCGUUCCGUGCGAUACGUUUAAAAUAGCCGUCCGUUUUCCCGCCACGAAAAUAAAUAAAAAAAAAAAAAAAAAAAAAAAAAAAAAACGAUAAUUCGGCUUACGAAAAUGUCCGAAUCGCGAGACUAAUUAUUUUACUGUUCGUCACUGUGUAUACACGCGUAAUAAUAUUUUCGUCCGGCGGCGGGAAAGAGUGUGUUUUUUUUAUUUUUUCGCUUUUCGUUCUUGUGUCGUUUUUAGUGCCGUUCAACGACCGUCACCGAAAUGCUGAUGCUAUCCUGCGUGCUGAUGGUGCUGGUGUACACAGCGGAUAAAACAGGUCAGUCCAUAACAAAAUUAUUUUUGAUAAGAAUUAUACUUAUAAAUCGACGAACGUCUCGAGUUUAAAUUCUCACGAGUAUUAUGCGAUAUAAUAUGUCAUUAUUGAUCGGAUGUGUACAUUAAGUCUGUUUUCGGGCCUCUUAUAAUGUGCCGUUUUAUCCCGCGUAGAUGAAUGUAAAUGUUUCGGGGGUCGUCGAGGUCGUAGACGGGAAAAAUAACUUCUGCGGCGGAAGGGGGGGCGCGAGGCGUGUAUGGCCGUUACAUUUUUUUUCUCGACCAUCGGUACUUAACUGUGGUUUCGCUAUCUUUUAAGAUGAGGUGAAUUUUAGGCGAGAUUUUGUAUCCGGGCGUAUUUUCGUCAGCACCCCUGGACUUGCGCCCCCACCCCUAUAUUCGGACUCGUUGAUCGCGGCCGGCGCUACAACGGAAUUCAGUUAGGCGAAAACAUUAAUAAUCGGGUAUCGAAAUUAAUAUCGAUGAUUUCGGUACCUAUAUUUUCAACAUUUUUUAUAUAAUGUCGAAAACGAGAAAACUGCAGUAUUAUUUUUCGCACAAAUUUUCCCGCGGAGAUUUUUCAAUCAGACGAAACUUCGAAAUUUAUUUCGACUAAAACUUCGUAUCACAUACACUGCGUUUAAAUAUGGAUUUUCGUUUGAAUGUUGUAAAUUGCCCGUAAAAUAUCAAUUUCUCUUUUUCGAGAUGUAAAGAACAAUAAAUAGAGUUCGGUUUAAAAAAAAAUCUAAAAAUUACAUAUUGUCGCAUAUCGAUAAUCCGAAAGACUCCCAUAUGUCCACAUCGUGUCAACCGAACAGAUUGAAUCAAACACUUCGCGUAAACAACAAAUUCGGCGGCCGUCCCCGCGUUUUAUCGCGCAACGAACCACAAUAUAAUGGACGUCGAACUAUUAGCCACGACUUUAUCGUCGUUGCCAUCUGCAAUGUCGCGUAUUUGAUAAUUUUGACGACGGACGCGGAAACUUUUCGUUCUUAUCAGCGUCCGGAUAAUUGCAUUAUUAUUGUGAUUUUAAUAUCGACGCUAUACGAUUGAGGUGAACCUGAAAAACUCGAAAACUCUACGGGUCCUUUUCGUCUGUGCGGUGUCUUCAGUGUCGGCCUGGUCAUGGUCGCUGUAGGCAGUCAUCGCUGUCUAGGCCCCCCGAGCUUUUUUUUUUUUGUUCAUUACACUCCAAAUAGUACACAUGCACAUUAUAAUAAUACGAUUAACGUAAUAAUCUAUGCGUGUUGUUACAACGAUUCAAAUAUUAGAACUUUUUUUUUUUUUAUUGUUUUGCUUUUACUUAGGUCGAGUCCCUAGAAUCUCUCCUGGGCCCUUUGUUGCCGACGCUGAGUCUCUUGUAAACUUUUCCACAACAAACGAUUUUUCACAUAACUACGACGGGCCUAUGAUACGCGCGGACCCGGUGAUCUUCGCCCACCCUCUCAAUCCGGGCCCGGACAAGACGGCGGCGGCGGUUUACCGGAUUACGGUUAUUCUGAUUAAAACUCGGCCGCGAUUCUCGGGAAAACGAACAGCGGCCGCAGAGGUCCGGGAAUCUGUCGAGUGUCUCGUACGUAGAGUUACCGGCCGUGUCCGCCGCGCGCGCCCGGUUCACCGGUAUCGUCCCGGGGGACGGGCGGUUAUGAUCGCGGUUAGCGCGGCGAGAUUAUACGGUCGGGUUUAUUAUGCGGACGGCCCUCACCGAACGCGUCUCCAGAGGUCCGCGCGCACCACCCGGCAGACCGAUCCGCGUCGACGUCCGAAUAAUAAUAUUGCCGCGCGUCUGGAAACUGAUAAGAAUCGACCGCGGUAUCAGGGCCGGACUGAUCCGAUACGCCGUCUGGGGCCUACUUUGUCUAGACCACCGCGUCCGAUUCGGGCCAAUAAAACAGAUUUCAAUGUAACAGGAAUAAUUGUAGUUUGAUAGCGUAUUAUACUAUUUGUUUAUGAAUGGCAGAAAACCAGAAAAGUCACAUUUUUCCCAAUCCGAGAAAAACACGUUUUUAGUUUCAAAACGUAACAGAUAUUUUUUUGUUUUUAUAAAGUAAAAAGUUCGGAUUAAAUAGAACAUUAAACUUUGAAACCUUGAAAUAAUUGUCAUCAAAUAGGACGUGUCAUCAAAUGUGUUCCAACAGUUCUGUGUUAAUAGUUUAUAUUUUUUACUAUACUUUGCUUCCACGUUUGCCGACGGUAAAAAAAACACUUAUAUUAUUAUUGCGAACCCCGAGGAUGUUUGCAUCCAAACUAGUUGUCGUUCGAAAAACUGCUAGGGCAAUGAAGAAAGAAGGGCGGAGAAAUUAUCUGAUUAUUCAGUUGGCAUUGUGUGUGUUUAUAGGAACGAAAUUACUGUACAGCGAUUACGGAAUAAACCGCUAAGAAGAAAAUAUUGUAUUACGAUAUUCCUCAGUAAGAAUCACGUCUGUGAAGUUAGCCCCUCAACUUAAUUCAAAGUUAUCGAAAACUAUGCCCCCCUUUUUUAAGUAGUUCGCGAAAAUUUGCAAGUUAAUUUUUAUAAUUUGCAAGUGCAAAUUAUAGCGGUAAUCUGAGAUUUUCACUUUGAGGACUUCAUGCAUUGCCUUAACUUUAUUGUAGGAAGUCCAAACCAGUGUCAAAACAUUCCCUGUAGUUUGCAAGAGUUUGCAAGUCCAUUUUCAGAAUUUGCGAGUAGGUUGCCUGGCUAGGACGAGAUUUCAAUGUUUUGGCCCCUCAACUUUAUUCCAACAAGUCAAACCUGUGUCAAAACAAUCUACUAAUGUUAUAAUGACGUGUUUUUUGAUUCAUAAUGUAGCCAUAUAUAUUUAAUCAAAUAUUAGCUUUACCAUUUUAUCUUGCUAUUGACGAUAUUGCAUAGUACAUUAAAUUUUAUAAUUAUAAGUAUGUGUGAAGUGGUGAAGUGAUAACACCUUUUUAUUCCACUUUGAUUUAAACUAAUAAAAUAAUAGGUACUUUUUAAUUAGAAAAUUGAAUGUAGGUACCGUGUAAAUAUCGUCAAUGACGUGAUAAAAUACAUCCUACAUAAAGUACAUCCUUGGAGUCCGCAACAAUAAUAUAAGUUUUUUUUCCGAUUUUUUACCGUUAACAAACGCGGUAGUAAAGUACAGUAAAAAUAUAAACUAUUAGCAUAGAACGGUCGGAACAUAUUUGAUGACACAUUAUGGAACAUUUUAUCGAUCAUCGGUGAUAACGCAGACCGUGCAGGUAUUGAUGUCAAAAACGGUUUUACUCCGCACAGAAGAAAUUACAAUAAUAUGUACAUUAACUUAUGAUUACAGCUUCUGUAAUAUAGUGAAAGAAAAUCACCACGUGGGAGGAGGCGGGGGGGAAUGCCUCUAUCGUCACUCUCAAAUAUGCUAUCGGCCAUGUAGAUUUACGUGGUAAACGUCUUCUAGUUUUUACAUUUUUAUUCUGUGAUAAUAUUGUUUUCAUCGUGACCGUGACCGGUUGAAACAGCACGGAAAUCCCCGGGCGGCACGAUCGUCGUCAAAAUAAACGUUAACGCACGCCGAAAGUGAAUUGUAAACGGCAGUGGAAUGCCAAAAUGUUGUGUUUUUUUUUUUUAGGUAACUGCCUCAUGACUAAAAUCGAUGGGCGGGCGGGUCACUACAUAUUUUGAACGUCGAUUAGGUGCGGAGAUCAGAGAAGCUGCCUUCUUAGUUUAGUGAAUUACAUACGAAUAUGACAGUCCAUAUUUUGUAGCUAAUGUACCUAAAAAAGUAUUGGCUGUAAAAAAAAAAUUAUUUAUAGGAACGUAAAAUUAAAUACCGACAUUUUCGAACAUAAAAUUGUUAUAUGAAUCCAUACUUUGGCGGGUGAGCGGAUCCCAAUUGUUCUGUUUCCCCUUAAGUAUAAAAAUGUUCAGCACGCUACCGGUAGACUGCGGUUCGAUAAUAAUCGGUUCGUUUGUUUUUGAAACGUGUCGAAAAAAAGCCAAAGAAUCAUUAAAAUCUCCGCGUAGGCCGUGGCGUAUCUAUGACCGCUACGUUAUUCAUCUUUUUCGAAAAUUAAAAAAAUGAUAACACCGUUUGUUAACAUAUACUACUCGGUAUAACCUGUCUCAACAUUAUCCUGUUUCGGCGAUUGUGCGAGAUAGAGUAACUCAAUAACGUUGUAUUUGUAUUUCGUUUUGGGGUUUUUUUUUAUGAGAUACCAGAUAAAUAAAUAAAUACGAAUAAGGUGUUUAUCGAUUACUUAAUGUAUGUUUUGUUAUUUUUGUAAUGUAUAUGAUUGGCGAUUUUAAAUAUUUUUGAAAUUUUAUAUUUUGAGCGGAGCGAGGAAUGUAUUGGUUUUACAAUGAUUAUUUAAAAUAUUAAUAUUAUUAUUAUUAUUUUUUUUUUUUUAUGUAAACACUUUUUCUACCACAAAGCUUACUCCGAUUAUCAAGUAUAGCACUUUUUCUGAAAGAAAAUAUUUCACGGGUGGUACUUUAAAGAGGUCGUUUUUUGAAAUUCUAAUUAAUAUUUGGGGUAAUGAAGAUAAUCUGGUUCUGUAGGUUAAAAAAAAUUAAAAGAUUAAAAAUAAAAUUGCCAUUGGCAAUCGUUUUUAUUCAUAAUUUUUUAUUAUUUUAAUAUUUUUCAAACAAUCAUUGUUGUCAUGGAAAAGUACAUUGUUGUAAUCAUUUAACCAUAAUAUGACAUAUAUAUUGUUGACAAAGCAACACUAUCAAUUAAACUCCAUUCAAAAUCGUUUUUUCAUUAGCAAUUGUCUAUCGUUGCUUACAGAUAUAUAUUAAAUAAAUUCCCGUCUGCAACCUACCUUCCCAAAUUCCCACCCACACCAGUGGCUGCACCCACGUUCGAUGUAUGUCCGUCCUUUUUUCAUAUCACAUUGUUAAUAAUCUAAUGAAUCGUAUAAUUUCGCAAAAUAAAGUCACAUUUGUUUACGGUUGUAAUUUAUUUUUCGUACUAUUUUUUCAAUAUUUUCGGGUGUAUAUAUAUAUAUACAGGGUGACAUGUGGAGAUUUACCAUACGUACCUAUAUCAAAUUGAGAAAAGAGUAAUAUAAAAACCGUUAUUAUCCUACCACUUUAAAAUAAUAAAUCCUCGCGGGACGACCCCUCUGGUACAUAAUAUAUCAGGAUAGUGUGUCGUAAAUUAUUUUUUGAAAAAAGUGCACUUAAGGAAUUAUUAUAUAGUAUUCUAAUACUAACAAUUUUUCGCAGAAACUUUAUGGAAAUAAUAAAUUCUGACCGCUUUCUAAAGAAAAAAAAAUUAUGCGUAUCAGACACAUUGCAAUAUAAUAGUAAUCGUAAUUGGUUUUUUACGAUCUGCGCUUAUUUUUAGAUUCUAAGCUUAGCGAGCCUAUCUAUUAGUUUUAUUUUUUUCCCUCCUCCCCCCCUGUAAUUGAAUAAUUUUUCCUAUAAGAAAUCUUACUCCGAUUGAAUGACAAGAGAUCUUCUUCGUUGCGUUUUGAAUUUUUUAAGCAGGGCAUGAUAAUUGCUUAAAAUCAGAAAAAAACUGUAUAGGAUAACUGGACUAAUAUUAUUUACAUCGUUAACGAUUUCGCGCUUUUUUUUAAUUUUAACGUUUUUAAUUUUUCGAAUUGCUUUUCCUUCGUCCUCUUUUUUUGUUACAUGGAUAUAAUUAUUUGUAACUACGAGUGCAGGUAAUUAUAAUAGUUUUAUUAAUUGUCUAUCAAUUGUUUUAAAAUCGUUUGUUUUCUAUCUAUAUUAUGCUAUUUACUCUUGUUACGUUGUAUUUUUCGGACUAUUCCGUAUUAAUUUUUUAUCUGAUGGCCCUGAUGUUAUCCUUAUAGCCGAAACAUGUUAUAAAAAAAAAUAUAUAUAUAUAUAUUUAUACGUUGUUGUACAGCAAUAGUCGUGGCUUAUACGCUUUAUUUAUUUUAUUACAUAUUAUAGCUGACCCGGCAACGCUUUGCUAUUGCUAAAUAAUAGAGUAAAUAACAAUAACAAUAAUAGUAUUUUUGUCCGUAACAACCAAAUUGUCAUCCGUGUCACCAAGGUAACCCACUAAUAAACAAAAAUAAAUAAAUAAACGAUUAGAUAUUCAUACCAAAAACUAUUUUACCAGCUUAGGGGCUAAACUUUCAAAAAUCCUUUCUUAGCCUUCAUCCUAAUAUCUAUAUGCAUCUUCUAUCUGUAUCUUGGCAGUCUGAUUUGUCCAGCGGUUUAGGCUAGGAGAUGAUGAAUCAGUCAUUCAGUCAGGACAUGUUAUUUUAUGUAGGCAUACAGAUAAGUAUUUGAUCUUUUUAUUUUAAUUAACGAUUUAAUUAUUUUCCAUGUUUGUUUUCCACCAAAAAUCCCGCUCCGGAAUUAUUUGAAAGGAAACAUGCAGUUAGUGAGCGAGAGAGUCUGUUUUUUUUUUAUUUACAGAAUAAUUUUCUUAAUAGUAUUGUAUUUAUGAUUUAAUAAUUAUCAAAUUACAGUUAAAAAAUUGAAUUGUGUUAACAGUGGCAUAGCCAGCUUAAGCCUGGCCCUACAUACUUUUAUCCGAAAACUAACACAAUUUUAAAAUCAAACAUGCCCUAUUUAGUAGUCUAUACUAUUCAAAAACGUGUAUUUUUUUGUCUGGCCUACCCAGAGAAAUAUUUAUAGCUACGCGUAGACAAAAUUCUAAACCUAUUCUAACUAUGCAAAAUUAUAUAUCGCAGAGGUGGUGUGUCCUACUGGUUUUAUUUGACAACAUUUUUCGAACUGACAUCAAUUGACUGAGUUCCGUAUCGACUGUUAUUGUUAUACACGUUACGCAAAUAACACGUAUAACAACGCAAAUAAUCGUGGGAAUCACGUAGUAUAAAUUAAUUUUAUAAUUUGAGAAAAUAUCUUCCGAUAUGUAAUUUUCAUUUGAAUCAAUUUUUCUCCAAUUUUUUAGAAAAAUCGUUUUUAACAUCAUAUACUGCUUGAAAAAUACAAAAGUGCACGAAACACGCACUUAUACGAAAAGAAGGGCUAAAUAAUAGGUGAAAUAAAACGAAUUACCUUGACUUUAAGAAUAAUGAAACAAAUGUCUACAUAGGAGGGGCGGAUUUAGAGCUCAAUUUUGGGAGGUGGCAAAAGUACAAAUAUUGUGCUAAAAUAAAUAGUAAAUUAAAAGACCUUGUAAACUAAAACAUACUACUUUAUUACGAUGUUAGGGGAACAAAUUACUCCGUUGCCCUCUUCUGAAUCCGUCACUGCUACAUUGGCUCGGCUACGUUUUGAACAAUUAUCGAAAAUUAAGUCCAAAUUCCAGUAAGCCCCUUGCUUCAGACUAAAGUUCAUCUUUAUUCUUUAUUAAUAACUACAUUAAUAUUUAUAAUUACAAACAAAAAAUUGUUUUGUUUUUAUUUUUUUCUAAAUUUAAGAAAAUUCACCGAGUUAAUAUGAUUUGUUAAUUUAUUAUUCUAUUAAUUUAUACAUUCAAAUACUUAUUAACAUUUAAAAUGUACAGUAUUACACUAUUAUCACUAUUAUAAUAAAUUAAAAAAAAAAAAAAUGUGUAAUUCCUUAUGUCUUAGUCGUGUAAGUUGUAUACAUUUUAUUCAUUUUAUACAUUUAUACGUGUAACGAAUAAAACGUUUUAUACGCGUAUACUACCAACCCUGUUUAAAAUUACCCUGUACAUCCUGUCUUCCCGCGAGCGGAACAUUGUCGCCUUCGGUCGUUUCGAAGUGUAAACCACACGUAUGAUUUUAGAAAAUAAAAUUUUUCCGAGAAAAACUACAGGGGAAAAGUGUGAAAGUACCACAAACAGCAUAUAAAUCGUCCGUUGACAUCGUGCCUCGGUUAACGUGACGUGCGGUGUUCACGUGGUGUUCGGAAGUGCCCCCAGACACUGAUAUCGGCUGGAUGUUGCAGGAUUUUCAAAAGUUUCUCGUGUACAUAUGCUUACGAUGGCGGACUAAACGUAUCCGUAAUACCGAACUCGCGCUCGUCAUUUUUUUUCUUUUCUCCUUAGGUUUCUGUCGUUUAAUUACGGAGCUCAAACGAUCGUUGGAGGGUCGUUCGUACAGGGAACAUCAAGUACAAAAUAUACCUAUAUACAUACUAUAGGUAAGUAUAAAUUGUUUUCAUACUUUUGUCUCGAAAGUUUUUCCCGGCGAAAACAAUAUCAUAACGAAUCCUAAACCGUAUAAUAUCGAUUUUACAACGGUCUGUUUACAUUUUCAAAACGAAAGUUCCGCGGAAUAUUAUCGUAACCUCUAAUGUUUGAAGUUGUACAGCGCGCGCUUAUACGUACGAAACGCGUACACGUUAAUUAGGUACACGUAUGCGAUUUAGUGUACUAUAACGUUUUAGACGAACGCCAUUGCCUACAUAUACCGUCUUAGCGUAUCUUCAAAAAUAUAUCAAAGUUUUGGAGUAUUAACCGUUUAAUAGCCGGGCGCCGUCGUUUUAUACUCGAGCCAUAUAUUAUCGUAUAUAUUAUACGAUAAUAAAAUGUACCCGUUGAAAAGUUGCGACGUUUCCAGUUUGAACUUUGCUUUUAAACGUUUAAAGAUAUUUCAACAAAGUAUAGUAGAGUUUCCCUUUUGGAUUUUACGAUUAUCGGUACGCAUUCGUUCCUCGAGAAUAUAAUAUAAUAUUAUUAUGCAGUUAUUAUCACGAGGGUUAUCCGGCAUGUAACGCCUGUUCGCGAUUAUGGGUCAGAGGCAAAUUGUAGCGAUAGAGCUGGUAGCACUACAUCGAAGAAAGAUAAUAAUGAAUGUGGUGCUACAGCUCAAAGUAUCGUCGAUUUUUUCGGCGGAGACCUCUGUUUUUAAAUUUAAAAGUUUGUAUUGUCAGCAGGGGCAGCUGCGGUAAUUUUUUUGAUUGUUCGGUUGAUUUUGACGCUACUAAUUUGCGGUACCGUUCAUUCACUUUGUGAGAUAUUGCUUUAAAAAUGAAACGCUAUCAAUUUAAUCGCGGCAAUUUCCCUAUGAUCUGUAAUCUCGAACAGGCUUUACUUUCCGGAUGAUCCUCGUACAAAAAUGACGAGUAUCGUACGUACCAUUUUGUUCCGAACGGCCAGCUAAAAUGAUCAUAUUCUAUAUUCCAAACUCAGUUCGAUAAUAUUUUAUUGUUGCCGAAAUGUAUAGUAUUACCGAUUAAAUUUCCAUAGGAUCCAGCGUCCAAUUUUAACGAUUUUUCCGAUUUAUUAUCGGUAAUUUUCGUGCUUGUUUGCCGCGUAACUUAUGUUAGGAAUAAGCCACCAGUUGUAUUGGAUUAAUGUUGCGAUAGUUUUAUAAUCGUGUUUCACGAUCGGACGCAAUCUUAAUAGUUUUGGUAUCCGAAAACCAGGGGCGAAUCCAGGACAAGAAAAUGGGGGGGCGAGGCUUAGGGUAAAUUUGAAAUCGAACGGUGAAGGAAUCAUUACACCUUUCGGCCCCCUUAGAUAUUCAACCUCUAAUAAAUUUUCAACAGAUUCGUGGUAUAGUUGAAUUGUGUAGGGGCUAGGUUAUUCCCGUUCCGAUACUAGCGACCGAUUAUUUAUGUAUAAUAUAAAUACACUGAUACACGAAAACUGUUCUGCCUCCCUGUGUUUUUUUCCAAAAUAACAUUGACAUGUUCAGUGGAAAUGUUUGAAAGGAAACCAUAUUCUCUUCUGGAAUUAAACAAUAAUAAUAUUAUAAUACCUGCCUAUUUUCGGUAUAAAAAUCAAAAAUUGAUACCGUUGUAGUAAAUAACAAAGAAGAUGUGGCGAUUAUCGCAUUAUAGUUAUGAAACAGAUUUUGUUAUAAUUCCGUAAAAAAAAAAUAAUAAUAAUAAUAACAAUAAUAAUUUAGGUACACAUAAAUUAUUAAUUUGUGUUUCGGUGCAUAGAACACGAAUUCAUUUUAUUUCUUUAUAAAUGUUUUUUUUAAAUUUAACAGUUCUUCGGGGAGCGAUGUAUUUUCGAUUUCCAAGUUCUUUUAAACGCCGGACUUUUGUAUACUUUUCGUCCCGUAAACUUUCACAUUGUCUCUACUCGGUGACCGACAACACUGUUCCCUCUCGCCUCCCAGACCUGCAAACGCAGGUACACAAUACAAAUCUCAGUUUGCCUACAAUUAUACUUGUACAGUUUUUCAAAUCGUCUCAUCCAAGCCCAUUAGGAUAGGAUUUUAUAACAACUGUUCUAAACGAAACUUUACCGUGUGCAAUUUCAAAACAAUAUAAAGAAAAACACUUUGAACGAAUUAGUUUGUAUUAAAUAUUCGAUCGGUACAAACUAAAAAAAAAAUAUAUUUGAAAUAAAUUGCACGAUGAAACGAGAUUUACUUAUUUUGAUAGAUUAAACUAUUAUAGCUGUUUACAGUAUUUAUAUCGUAACAUUUUUUCGGUGUAGUAGAAAUAAUAUUCGAUAAAUUUUUUUAGCAGAGUGAAAUUAAUUCGUUUAUAUUCAUUCGGUCAAAUAAGUCAGUAUACUAUAUGUAUAAGCAUUAGACUGAAUAACUUUAAAUCUAAAUAAUAUUAUAUUGAAAAAGAAAUUUUAUUAAUUAAACGGUUUUUUAAUUGAAUUAUUGUGAGUUAUUAAAUUUAUUAUUCGGUUUGAGAAAUAUCAAUCCGUUUGAUAUUAUCACGACGUAUUUUUACAAAACCUAAUAAUUCGGUAUCAUUUUGGAUUCGGAGAAAUCUUGUUGCAUUUAUAAUCUGAGUAAGAGAAUAGUUUUUGAUUUUUUUUUUUUUUUGUAGUAUUUGUAAUAAUUAGGAAAAACCGGAAUGAAACACUAAAUGAAAGCUAACAAAUUUACAACGGUAAAAUUUCAUUAUUUUGAAUCUUUACGUUUUUCGUUUUUUACCAGUAAAAUUGCUUCAAUAGAAAAACCAUUACAGAUCUUUUUUAUUGGAUUUUUAAUCUAGAUGGUGACCAUAAAAAUUGAUUUUCGAUUUAUUUUUUUUGUAGUUUUUUUUUUAAUUAUCGAGUAAAAUCGAAAAAUGCGAAGAAAGAACAGGAACAUAUACGAAUAUAAUUAUUUUAUUAUUUUUAAUUUUAUUUUGUUAAUAUUAUUCAGUUAAACAUAUUCUUGAGACUUAAAAUUUUAACAAAACAUCCAUCCAUAUUCGCAUUUUCUAGAGGCUUUCGUAGACAUAGUAAUAUUUUUAAAACAUUGUGUUUGUAAGCUAUUUAUGAGUAAUUGAUAUUUUCGUAUUUUUACGUGCAUUUUUAUUUGGUAAGUAUCUUAUUAAAAUUAUACGACUUGAAAAUUUAACAAAAAGGUACAUUAUAAAUUAUACUUAAUGGUCUAAAAUAAAAUUUGAGUUGAUAUAUUAGUUUUUUUUUCAUAAAUGCAGCAAAGAUCAAAUUUUGUCGAAAAUCGUAAAAAUGACGAAAUUUCAUUAUAAUAUGACUUACCGAACUUCGUUCCGAAUAGUUUUUUUGUUAGCAAUAGUUCAUCUUUGUGUAUAGAUAUAAAUUAAGUAACUUUAUGUAUCCUAUCUUUCCUACCUCUCAUCAAUAAUAGUGGAUACACCCGUUCUCAGUAUCAUCUCUUUUCUCUUUUUUUUUUUUUUUUUUUUGGAAUUGAAAAAAAUAAAAGUAAAUACAAAUCCGUUUUAGCAUAUUUGAUCCGUAUUGAGUUUUGUCAGUAUGGCAGUGGUGUGCUUUACUGUACAUAAGAAGAUGUGCAUUUUUUACCCAAUAAAUUAAAAAAAAAAUUGAAAAAAUUAUGUUUAUUUUUAAAUUUUUUUUCUUCUGUAAACAACUUUUCUACUAGCAAUUUCGCUCUGAUUUUUAAUGAUAGCACUUUUUUUAAAAGAAAAUCUGACUGAGGAGGUACUUUAUGGAGGUUAUUUUUUGAUAUUCCCAGGAGUUUUCCCAGUAAAUGGGAAAAAUUGUAGGAAAAACGGGAAAACAUUAAACUAAUAUUUAUAAAGAAAUCAUUUUAUGCAUACAUGAUUAUUUUACCAUGACAUAUAUAUUGUUAACAAAACAACACUAUCAAUCAAACUUCACUUAGAAUCGUUUUUUGUCAGCAAUGGCUUAUCGCUGCUUACAGAUAUACAUAUUUCUCCUCUACUACCUUUCCAAAUUCUCACCUAUAACAGUGUGACAGUGGCUGUAUCAGUCUCCAUUAUCCCAGGAAAGCUUUUUCUUUAAUAUUUCAGAAAAUUUUCGAAGAUUUAGAAAAGUUUUUCUAACGAAAUAUUCUCACGCAAAAAUUUCGCACCUUUUGAUGGUCGACAUGAAUAGUAGUUAAUUUAACCCAAUCUAAUAAAAAAAAAAAGCGUAUUUCGAGAAAAAAACAACAUAAUAUAUUAAUGACACUAAUAGUUUUUUCAUUACACUCAGAGUCUAAAAUUAGAUAAGCAUUGAUUUUAUUCAAAUAACAUUAGAGGUAUGAAAUAUUAUGUAAACGAAUUACACACAUACAUUAUAAAACUAAGCCUGAGAACAUUAUAUUUAAAUAACGGUUGUUAAAAAUUGAAAAUUAACUCAACUCGAGACUUUAUCGAGUAAAUAUUAUACAAAUACUGAGUAUUAAGAAAAAAAUAAAAAUUAUAAAUUAAUAAUAUUUAUGAUUUGAGAAAAACUGUGAUAUAAAAACUUUCAAUCGUAACUAUAUACUAUAAUUUAUACCUAUAUAAAUAUAUAGUAAAUAUGUUAAUUAUAUAAAAAAUAUUAAUAAAUAUAUUUAUUUAUUAAUAACUUUGUUUACAGCGGCGUAUUGAGAGAGGUUAGGGCCUAAAAACUUCCCUUUAUUUGUAUGCAUAUUUUGUAAAUCAUUUUCUUAAGAACUCCUCAACAAAUAUCGCUGAUACGCCACUGUUUUCUGAUAUACCUUCAACUAUUAGAAGUUUAUAUAAACAUUGGUUUUCAAACAAAUGUACUAUUAACUUGAUCUAACCUAACCUAGCUUUACCUAUUCAGUACAAUUUUUGGAGGUUUUAACAUUUAAGUAUAAGAAGCGUUUAUUUUUUUUUUUUUUUUUUUAGAGUUUGGUAUAUUUGAUUAAAAUUUAAACCAUUGUUAACAAAAAAACAAUGCUAAGCGGAGUUCAGUUGAUAAUCAUACUUAAGUAUAUAAAAUAAAGAAAUAUAAUAUAAAGAUUAAUAGUUAAAAGAACAUAUUAUUAAAAUUAAAAUGUACCUUAUUUUAAUAUAACUCGGUCUAUAGUAUUGCUUUUUCAACAAUGUGCGUUUUCAUGACAACAGUGAUUGUUCAAAAAAGAUUAAAAUAAUACAAACUUGAUAAUAACAAAAAAUAAAUAAAAACGGUUGCUAAUGACAACUUUAUUUUUAAUCUUUCAAUCAUUUUUAACUUAAAAAACCAGAUUUUCCUAUUUAUCUCGAAUAUUAAUGAGAAUUUCAAAAGAUUACCUCUUUAAAGUACCACCCAGUCAAAAUUUCCUUUCAUAAAAAGUGCUAAAUAAUAUAAUUGGAGUAAGCAUUCUUGUAGAAAAAUUGUUCACAUAAAAAAAAAAAAAACAUCAUUGUAAAACCGAUAUAUGCCUCUUUCUGCUCAAAAUCUAAAAAAAAGAACACGUCCGAGAUUUUGGACUAAAUCUAGAAGCAUAUGUUUAUUGAUUUUUCUGUUUAUUAACGCGAAUUUCAAAGAUUUUUACAACAUUUCCCGUAAUUUUGUUUUUGUUGUAAUUGGGAAAAAUUAGCAAUCGAAGACGAUAUCACCGGUUUAUUUAUAUAAUAUGGCACGCUCUGAAAUUUUAGUCUUAGACCGACAGAUUACGUCGGAUAUUUAACUUUCAAUGACUGUAUACUUGUACUAUCACAAUCAUACUUUUUGGACAUUUUGUAUUUAUCUUCGGUUCAUGGUUCCCCCGGGUCGCCGUGGUUACACGAAAAACAAAACGGAGUCGUUUUUUUUGGCACGGGGUUUUCGUGAUUGUUGUUGAUGUUUUCAACGGAGACUCGUCUUGAUUUUUGUCGGUUGAUUAUCACGACUGUACGCGGUUCUCUAUACAGUGUUCCAACUAUUAUAGUGUAUAGAUUUUAGAAAGAUAAAAUACUCUAUACAUCGAAGUGUAUAUACGUUGAUGUUUUAUUGUCGGACAGGAAAAACCAUUACGUUCUUCUACCGAAGGGGUCGUGUUGUAUAUAUGUACGUAUAUAUAUAUAUAAAAAAAAAAAUAAAAUAAAUAAUAAUAAAAUGAAAAAAAAACCUCCGAAAUAAAGUGCCUGCGACCAGUGCGCGACACAAAUCACACGCGAAAAACGUUGGCAGUGACUUUACAGUCGGUUUCAUAAAUAAUUUUUUUUUUUUUUUGUCUUUUUGUUUUAUCCCUCCCACCACUGUCGUCCACCACUAUCGUACACCACCGCCACCAACGCCAACAGCGGCGGUGGCAGGAGCAGCAGCAGCAGUAGCGGCAGCGGCGGUAGCAGUAGAAGCAGCAGGCGUGUUCGAUAUCCGUCGUCCCCGCGUGCUUCCGCCGCCGCCGUUCUCUCUGGCGGCCGGUCUUCGAACCUCGGCCAUAAAUCUUACGGCCGGUGCACCCAUAACGGUCAAAAAUGAACGGACGACGGGAAAACCUUUUCCCGUAAUGGAAAAAAGUGCAAAAAUAAUACAAUACGCCGGAGCGGGCGGGGGCGCCCGGCGGCGGUAAACUUUUCGUUCGAUUUAGGGCAUUCGUUUGACCGCGGGGGAUUCGCGGACGAAUGAUCGGCAGCGGCUCGGCGGCGGCAACGGCGAUGGACGGACGGCCGGCGGCGGCGGCGGCGGUCGCUCGUAUGCGAAUAUUGCACGCGCGCGCGGUUAUGUAGAGCCGAUAACGACGAUAAAUAACUCAAACAAUCUCGCGCGACGCGUACGCGCGAGGUAAAAAUGAGCCGGGAAAUUUCCGUCCCGACAGGGCGUUUUCCAAUUUAACUCGGGCGCGCGCGCGCGCGCGCACGUUCACCGCGUAUCGCCGCCGUUACGCCAUAACGCGGUACGUAGUUCGCGUGAUUUAUUUUCGGUAUAUGAAACGUCGUCGUUUCGCCGCUCGUACGCUUACGAAUACAUUUUCGCGCGGGCAAGUUUGAUUAACUGCCGUAUGCACUGCCGGUUUGUUGUGCGCAGUUUGCGACGCCGGCCCCGUCGUCGUCGUCUGCGGUGGUCAUCGGGUCGCGGGUACGGGACUCUAUGUACGCGCACAGGGUUUAAACGUUUUGCUCUUGCAGCGCGUCAAGUGUCACACGUCACCGUACGGAAAUCAUGUUGUUGUACCGGGUGGGGGAGGGGGGGUGGAUAUUGCAUUUUAGAUCCUGGGCGGAGCGAGGAACGUAUUAGUUUUUACGAUCUACCGGGGCGAUUGCUCCGAGUGUAGCGUUUUUUUCUAAAAUGGAAUUCUGAUCGGGGGGAGGGGCGUACUUAAGAGAGGUAGCUUUUUAAUUUUCUCGAUAAAUAGGGAAAAACGGAGGAAAAUAGGUACGAUGUUAAAAAAAUAUUAUUACAGAAAAUAUACAGGAUGAUUCGCCUACCUAAUUUUUUCGGUUGAAUUUUGUAUGUAUUCAAAUUCUGAUGCUUGGAGUUUUUAAGUAUAGUUAAAGCUGAUAUUUAUUCAAUAUUUUUAUUUGUUUAUUUAUUUUAAAUAAAACUCGGUGUCAACAUUUCUGAUUUCCGCCAACCCGUUAUUGAGAUAUUCCACUUUUAAGUUUAAGUAGGAGGAGAACGUGGAGUGUUAAUAUUGUUUGUGUGGUGGCUCGGCGUGCAGCGUUUUGUUAGUACUCCACUUUUCUCCCCAUAUAUGAAAACUUAAAAGUGGAAUAUCACGUUAACGGGUUGACGGAUAUCGAAAAUGUGGACACCAAAAUGUAUUUAAAGUAAUUUUUCGUUUAUUUAUGGAAUUUGUAAUAUAGAUUAUCAUUUGAAAAACCAAAGUUGGUGUCGCCACAGGAUUAAAUGUCGUAAAAAAUCUGUGUUCGAAAAUAUCGGAUUUAACAACAUUUAAAAAUUCAAAAACUUAGAAUUUGAGUAUAUGCAAAAUUUAAUAAAAAAAAAGAAAGAAAAAAUGGGGCACAAUUAGUGAAUCACCCUGUAUAACGCAUAUGUCAUUAUUUCACCAUAUUAUGACGACAUAUAUAUUGUUGACAAAGCAACACUAUUGACCGAACUCCGCUCAGAUUCCUUAGCAAUUUUUAAUCGUUGCGUACACAUAUACAUUGAAUUCCCCUUCAACAUUCCCAGCUUCUCACCUACAACAUUGGCCCACCCAUCGUGCGAAGUAUGUUUGUCUUUUUCGUUUUUUCUUUCCAACCAUAGUACCUAAUAAAAGUAUGGUAAUAUUCGAAAAGAAAAAAAAAGUCUCGUCAAGGCCACGAGACUCCGAUGGUCGUAGUUUUCGCCAAAGCUUUAUAUACAUUAUCCGCGCGUUUAAUCAUUGAAAUUGUACUUUGUUAUUUUAUUACUUUAUAAAUAUCUUUUUCGUUACCUGAAUACGAUGUCUGACGACGAUUCAGUGGAGGCUAUAUAUCAGGAGUUUUGAUAAACACACAUUCAUUUGUUUUAAAAAUACUCGUGUCUUUUUGAUGUAUAAUUUAUAAAUUAUUUUUUGUUUUUCUCUUGUUAAAACAUUGUCAUAUUGAGCCAUAAUAUUAUAAAUUUUGUUCAGUUUUAUUUAUUUAUUGUGUUUUUUUUGUAAUUUUGUGUAAGAGCAUAUUUCUGAAAACUUUUUUUUCUGAUUUGGUGUAUUCUAUAUUAAGAAGGUUAUUUUUUGAUUUUCCUCGCAGUUUUCUUUAUGAUUUUCACAUUGUUCCUAAACGUCUUAACCUGGGCUUGCACUGGCUUCGAAAACUAGAUAUUAAAAUAUACGAUAUAAAUAUUGUAUAGGGUUCAUAAUCGCAUUAUUCGAUACAUUACAACUAGCGAGUCGAUUGUUUUCACGUUAACCGAGACAAUAAUAAUUAAUUCAUAAACUGUAGUGUACCUGUCGAGAUUCGAAAAUAAUUAUAUACCUACCCGGUUACCUAUAAAUCAAUAAACUCUAUAAUAAUUUAUUAAUAUCUAUCAUUGUGAAACGUCUACACUGCCCUGUUCGCAAAUUAUAUCAUAUCAGUGGCGUAGUCUGGAUUUUGUAUUUGCCGGGGGUUGGGAACGGGGUUAAAUGUUAGGAAAAAAAAUUAGGAAAGUAUUUUCAUCAAUAUACAUUUUAAUUUCAUACUUUAAACAAAAAUUGAUAGGAAAAAAAAAAAAACUUAAUAAUGGAAGGAGAAUAUAAUAUUAUAUCUUUGUGUACCUAUCUUGCAAGUAUAUACUAUAAUAUAGGUAGGUAUUAUAGAAUAUAAGUGUUUGAAACGUUCACUAAAAUCAUGAACGCAUUCGUGGUCAAGUUUAUAUUUUGAAAAAAAAAUAGCGUUCAAGUUCGUUGAAAAAAAUUGACUGAAUUCAAUUCAGAAGAGGUCGGUGUCCUGGGUAAAAAUGAGUAAGCUUCAAUAUGCGUAAUAAGGCGUGUUAUUUAACAAUUCUGGUGAAUGUUUGACAGCGUUGUAACUUUUUAGAGACACAGAAUAAUGGUUUAGUACAUUGAGACGUAUUCUAUGGUUUGGUAACAAUAGAAGCAUCAGUGAGAUAGAUAAACAGUACUAGCUGCUAUCUUGAUAGGGAUAACGUUUCUAUACAAAUUACAAGCGAUGUCGUGGUAUCUUAAAAUUUUGAAUUGCAAUCACGUACUAAGAUAAUAUGGAUUGGCAACGGAAUCAAAUUCGGUCGAGUUUUGAAAUUGAAUGUUUGUUGAGCAGAGAACACAAAGAUUGAAUCAAAAAGAGAUAAAUUAUAUCACGCUCACAUUAUCGCAGCCUAUUAUGUUGUUUAGUUUGCGAUAGCACCGCUAAACCGUCGCGGUUUUUGAUUUUAGUGGCGUGUAAUUUUCAGAAGAUAUGAACCGUUGACAUAAUUAUUAUCAUUUCCGGGGAUUUUUUUUAUCAUAUGAAAGUUAAAUGAAUGAAAAAAGUCGUUCUCGUUUGUCUGAACGCGUUAUUUCCAAAGACUGCAGAACAUACAUCCAAAGCUGAUAGCUGUAUCUUCCUGUAAGAAUUUUAAUUAAAUACAGUAAUUAUAUUAUUUUCGUAUAUUCUUUUUUGAGUUUACUUUUUAAACUAGUGUAUCACCUACCUAGUUAAAUCGUUUUUAUACGUAAAACAUAUCUGAUAACAUUCAAAUCUUUAAAUAGUAUGCAUACAUUAUGCAAAAUACAUCAAUAGAUCUCUUAAAUUCCCUGGCUAUGCUUCUAUACCAUUUUGAACGGUUUCGAGAAAAAAAAUAUUUCUUUUAAAUUUGAUAAUUUUUUUAUUAAAGAUAAAAUUUACUAAAUAAUUAACACAACUUCCAUAAAUUAUCACGCAGUAUCUCAUAAAAUACUUUAAAUUCUGAAUGUUUUUGUAUACAGCUUUCUUAUUUAGACGUUUAGCAUAAAGUAUGCUGAACUAUAUUGAUUUUAUUGAUGCACACAUUUACAAAAAAUAAACAUCCAAAAAAACAAACAGUUCUCUUGUUUUACUUAAAAUAUUAAGUACUUAAUUAAUUUUAAGUUUACAUUUUAUAUAGUUGUAAAUGUUAAAUAAAAAAAUGGGAAAAAUUAAUUUUAAUAAUCUACAUCAGUUAGACGGCAAUAUUCAUAGUUUUCCCCCUUGCAUCGGUACAAUCGGGUCUGGAUCGAUUAAUGAACAGGAAAAGCCUGUUCAGCAUUUUAUUGCGAAGUCAUUAUUAUUAGUUUUUUUUCUCUUUUUUUUAAGUUUCGACGGAAAACAAUUAUUUAGCCACAGCUUCGUUAUGACUAAAAUUUGUUCCUACAGUACCGAUAAUAUUCCGAUAGUACACGUUUCCAUCAAAACUUUAUUCAUUAACGAAUAAUAAUCAUUUAAAAUAAAUUAGGUACCUACCGUUGUCUAACUAAACCGAGAAGUGCAAAGUUAGAUGAGUAUUCAAUAUUAAAAUAUAAUAUAAUUAUCGAUGUGCUCCUUUAUUUUUAGACUUUAAAUACAAUUUAAACGAAUAGUCAAAAUCCGUCAAAUUUUUUUUCUGGGUCAUCUACGAGUUGAAACGUAUAAACGAAUUAUAUACAUCGGUUUAAAAAUAAAUUUACUUAACCGGACGGAUGUAAUAUUUUUUGAUAAAUAUAGAACAUUUUCCAAGAGGGUUCCGCUUUUUUUUUUUUUUUUGUAAAUCCAGGACUGAAAAUAAUACUUAUAGUUUUUUUGGGUAUUGGCUAUCAUUUUUGAUUCAGCCAGCGGUCGUUUUUGAAAUGUAGUCAAAACUACAUAAUGAUUGUAUUGAUUAUACGGGUCGCAGGUCCCGUAUAAUUUUAUAACCUUUUUAAACCUCGAAAACGAUAAGUCAUUGCAAUAUUUCGAAAACGAUUAUUAUGAGCAGCAGAGUUUCCUAUGAAAUAUUUUACGGUGCUUAUUGGCUAUAAUACGGAGGGUUUAUGACUUUUUUUUUAGUUUAGCUUUACAUCUUGUUGUAGAUUUUUAAAACGUUCUCGACAUUUUAUAGACAUUCAAAUCAAAACGUUAUCGAAUAUAUUAUUACGAAGUAUUAUUGUGUACAUCUUUAUAUACUAAUUUUGUUUAGAUUUUUAAUUUAUUAAUUAUUAUGUCUCGAUUACUUUUCACCGUCAGCGGGGGCAUACCGAGACCGAAAAAAUCACUGAGAACUAGAUCUAGAGUAGCCACAGACGUAUAUUGUUCAAUCUCCAGAUUUUCAUAAAUUAUAAUAUUCAACACUUAACUUAAUUGACAAAUUUUUUUCAUGUAAAUAAGCAACGCGGUGGUUUAGCCGUUUUAAUGUGUGGCGCAGGCCUGACAGUGGAUCGGAGAUAUUACUUUGGUAAAGUAAAGGAAAGUAAUAGAUAUAAAUUACUGUAUUACUGUACGAGUAAUUUAUUAGAUUAUGAGUGUAGCAAAGAAUGUAUUGGUUUUACAAAGAUGUUUAUUUUUUAAUUUUUUUAUGUGNCUAAAAAAAUUGACAGGGGAGGUACUUUAAAGAGAUCAUUUUUCGAUUUUCCUACGAAUUUUCCCAGGAAAUUUGAAAAACCGGGAAAAACGUAGAAAAAAUGGGAAAAUCGGUAAAAUAUUAAACAAAUAUAAUUAAAGAAAAUAUCUAGUGCUUAUUUAAUUAUUUAAAAAUAAUAUGUCAUAUAUAUUGUUGACGAGUUUAGGAAAAAAGAGCAAUAUAUGUAUUUUAGGUACAAUACAUAAGGUAUAUUAUAAUAUAAAAAGUAAUAUUAUUGGUUAGAACUGCAUAUUAUAUAGUACCAUAUAAUAGGAACUUAAACCAUAUUUUAAUACCAUUGAUUAUAUUAUGUAUUCAAUGAUAUUAUUUUAAACAUUUUCAUAAAAAUAAUUAUCGGAGCAAAUUAUCGAAAUCUGCCGUCCAUAAUCAAAUGUAACAAAAAUGACAACUUUUUUUCAAAAAAAAAAAUUUUAACAAAGCAUCACUAUAAAUUAAGUUCCGCUCAGAAUAUUUUUUUUCGUUAGCAAUGGUUUAUCGUUGCUUUCUGAUGUACAUAAAAUUCUCUUUUAUAUCCUACCUUUCCACCAAAAUGCCUACAACAGUGGCUGCACCCGCGUGCGAAGCAUGUCCGUCUUUUUUUAAAUUGUUUUAGUUUAAUAAACAUUAAUAUUGUUAUUAGAUAAUUCAUAGUUCUUGGCAUGGAAAAAAAAAUAAUAACUAUAUCUGUAAUACAAAUUUUGUAUACCUAAAAUGAUUACAAAUUAGAAUGCAUUAUACAGGAUUACAAGAAGGGAAACACAGUUAUAGUUUAUAAUAUCUGGCUAUAGGUAUUUUAUAUUUAAAAAAUAUUAACAAUAAUAAAUAAUAUAAAUAAUAUUUAAAAAUAUAUUCAAAAGAUAAAUCAAUUUUCAAAUAUUACCGUGGAAAAUUAAUAGUUUACCGAAUGUCUUAAAAUAAACUACUGGUAAAUUUACAUGACUGCGAAUUCGAAUAGUUCAAAAUGAUAAUACGAUGUCUUGUUUUUUUUUUCCCUCAGCGGUUGAAUACCGACACAAAGUAUACCCAUUGUUGGCCCAUCUUCAGGGUCGAUAUCCGUGGGACAGUUUUCCAAGAAGCACCUACCUAUAACUUUUUAUACAUAUAUGUAACUUUUAAUUUAUUUGUAUCUAUUUUUAGAAAUCGUUAUUGUUCGUAUAUAUUAAUUGUUCUAAGAAACGAAACGACAAAAUGUAAAACAUACUAAUAUAAUAUUAACGCAGAAACGGACUAUAUAAUACGUACGUCAUGUUCACCUUUAUAACCCGAAGUUUGUCGACCUUCAGUCUUCCUGCCGAAGACUUCCGAGAAAUCUAUAUUUAAAUACCCGACCGGAUAAAGAUUCCAAAACUUACACGAUAAUACUAUGUUCUACAGUCUGCACGGUGAAAUUCUUUCGCGAUAAUGAUCCGAAGGAUUUCCUGGCGAAUUAAUUAAUCUUAACCCAUCGUUGGCAAAUACGUGAACGCGGCGAAAUGGCAAUCGCACAGUAAUAGCAUUUUAAAUCGAAAUUUCAAUACCAUAGAACUACACAAACAUAAGAGAAAAGCGACGGCAAAUAUUAUUAUAUCCGUGUGUAAACACAAUUAUUUUCUAUCCGUUUACCAAUUAUAUUAUGAAUACAAUUUUAUAUUGAUUAUUAUCCUUAAGAGGACGUCAUACGUGAUGUCUCAGUCUCAACUAUCGCGUAACAUGCAAACAUAAUGCUGACGCCGAAUAAGUAAAACUAGCUUAAUUUUGAUUUUAGAGUAAAAGUACCUAUUAUAAUAUAAAAAGAGGAUAAUAUUCCGGAGGGUACGUUUUUCAUAUUAUUUUAACUAACAUUCCGAAUAUAACGUCCAAUAAAUCGUUUAAAAUUAAUAAAGACCUAAUAUUCGUCGUUUUUAAAUGACUGUAAUAUUUUAAAAAAAGAAACGUCUCGCCUUCCGGAAUAAUGUCCUAAUUUAAUUUUAUAGUAGGUGUUUUUACAUUAAAAUCAAAAUUAAAGUGAGUUUCACUCAGUAUGUGUAAGGUACCUAUAUGAAUUUGCUACAUUGCCCGUCAGUUGAACUGAUACCGUAGAUGCUGGCAUAACCGUCCUCUUAAUAAUAACACAAAUAUCUCAAAUAAAUUAUUUUUUUUUUAAUUAGGCACAUGGCCCGCCGGGACAUUUUGGGGGCACUAAUAAUUUUUAUUAUUAUAACAGCUAUUUUAUUGAAUGGCCAAAUACACAAAUCAAUCAAUUUGUGGCGUCUCCGGGACCCUAGGGCAGUGUUGCCUCCUUUACUCCACCUCUCUAAGGAUGGUCCUGGGAGAGUUUGGGAGGCACGUACCUCCAGUGUCCUUCCCUCCGGUUACAGCACAGAUAAAUAGUAAUUUGUUUACUAAAUCAUUAUAUACCUAAAUAUUUUUAUAUUUAAUAAUAUUAUAAUAUACUGUCAGACUGCAAACGUUCGAAUAUUUAAACAGUGGUGUGCAAAAAGCUCCUUCUAUAAAUACAAUUAUAGUAUGGUGGACAAAAAAAUAUAUUUUGUUUUUUUGUUUAUUGUAAAUACUUUCUUUAAAUAUCAAAUCUUUUGAAAGGUUUUUUUUAAAUUUUAUUAUUUUAUCGUAUGCGAGUGGUUUAUUUAACCAAAUAGUUAAUUAUUAUUCGUAGACAGCUUAUUCAAAUUAUUAUGAACGUCGUUGGGGUAAUCCGAAAAAUAAUGUCACUCAAUUUAUUCAAUGAAAAUCAGACUAUUAUAUACAAUUCCGGAUAAUAUUGUGCAUUUGAACAUUUUAACUUGAAUGUUUGUGUAUCCAAAAAAAAAAAAAAACGAAAUAAGACAUUUUCUUUAUUCUCGUGUAAAAAUGUUUCUUUUCUCGUUUGCCAUUAAAGGUGCAAUUGUAAAGAAUGGCUUCUGUAUGCAUAAAUGAAUUGCAAAGUUCUUUUUAUUUUUUUUUUUUUCCUAUUGUAUAGGUGGUAUGAUUUUUUUUCUACGUGUGUUUAUAUAAUAUCACAAAACGUAUGUUGACUCAGCCACUUGUAUACGAAAACCAAAGCGGUUUUUUUUACAAAUAUAUUUAUACUCUAUGAAAAUAAACAAAUACAAUUUUUUUGGGAUUUAUCAAACGGAUUUGAGUUGCUGCAGGAUACUAAUAAAUAAUAGGUGGGCAUGUUGUUUUAUUUAUUUUAUUUUUUUUCGAAGCCAUUUAUUUUUUACUUCAAAGUUAUAUUUCUUUAAAGUAUUAUGGUUUGUGUUUUGUGUGGUAUUUUUCUUACUGGAAGUAACUGUAUGGAAUAUAAAAAUAACAGAAACUUCACUUCUGCGAGCGUGUUGGUCUCAUCAUUUUUUAUAUUAUCUUAUCUGUCUGACAAUUGAAACAUAAAAGGCGUUUUACGGGGAAUAACCGAAUGUAAAUAUAUUUUAUAAAAAAAAGUAGUUUUUAAUUAUUACUUUGGUUAUAAUUUUUGAUUACAGGUUACUGAAAUAUCAUAAACAGUCAAAAAGAACGGUUAUGAUGUUUAGUUGUGGAUAAAGUAAUGAUUAUAAAUAUUCAGUCAGUACUUUUUCUUUCAUAUUUUUACGAUAAUAAUUCUUAAUUCAAUUUCUUGGUUUUUGAUUCCGUUUCAUAUAAUUAAAGUAAUAUUAAAAUAAGUGGGAACAUUUUUGAAUUUCGUAUUGGUAAGGGCCUGAAAAUGUAUUCAAGUGACAACUUUUUGUGUAAUGUUUAAAUUAAAGGCUUAGUUAUGUAUAAAUAAAAACCAUAUUCAGUAACUGAAACAAAUGAUAGUUACUUAAGUUCCAAAAAGCAUGUAUUUGCAGAUUGUGUAAACCGUUUAUUAUAAUUUGUUCUUCUAUUGAUACAUGUUUGAAUUUGUGAAAAAAGUAAAACAGUCAAUACAAUAAUAAUUAAAUAAUAAAUUUAUGCAAAGGCUUAAGAAAUACAAUUAUACUAUCAAUUAACAUUAUUUUUAAUAAUCGUAAUAAACAUGUUUAUUUUCUUGAAUCUAUAACUAUUAACCAAUAUCAUAUAACCAUGUCUGAUAGCGAAUAUAACCAGGUUAAUCACCAAAAUACAAAUUCUUUUAGAUUAGAUCUAUAUAAUAAAAUACAUAUAAUUGUAUAUAUAUUCGAAAAUUGUAGAACACAUAUUUUUGUUUAAUUAUCAGUAGACACUUUAGUAAAAUACGAAAAAUUAAAUACAGUAUCUAUAUAUGAAAUGAGUUUCGCUGCUAAUAAAUCAAAAGUAACAAGUAUAUCUUUAAUUUUCACGUUUAUUACUCAUACUGUCAUUUUGGGGUAGUCGUGGGUUAUUUUCUUGUAUAGUAUUUUAUAAUAAUCAACCGCGCAUUCGUUUUCGUAACGCGAAAUGUCAAUUUGUUUUGGCCAAUCAUUUUGGAUAUUUGCCUAUUUUGAAAUGUGCAUUUCGAUAUUAUAUGAUAUUUCGCAUAAUAAAUCUUAGCUCUUCGGCGUGACGUUUUAUUUAUGUGGCCGUCGGAAUAAAACAUCAAUUUAUUUCGUAACACCCGGUAAAAAGGGGCAAAAUAUUUAUACACAUAUAAAUAUCUGCGAUUUUUCUUCCUUGGUGCCCAUACAAUUUUGUUUUGGAACUCACUAAUGUCACAUAUUGUAAUUUUUCUGACAAUAUGAUAAACUCUAGAAUGAUAUACCGUUCAGGAAAGUGUAAUAAUGUUAUAUUGUGGUGCCUAUAUACUUUUUAUAUUUGUACAUGCAUCUAGUUUAUUAUUAUACAUUUCGUUGUAAAACGCGAAUUUAAGUUCGAAUUCAAUGGCAAACGUAAUGCACGAAUACAUAAUAGUAUAAUGCAAUAUAAUAUAUUGUCGUGUGUACAUAUAGAAUAUAAUAUCGAAAUCUUUGACGUAAAUUGAGCCAAGAUUUUUAAUCCAAAAUGGACGAAUUUCUUAAUAUCAAUAAAACACUUAUCCAUCAGUACCUACAGUUUCAAUCGUGUAUUUAAAAAUCUAGAAAACAAUAUGAAUAGUUGUUGUUUUAAAGACCAGUAUAAUUUGAAAAAUAAUUCAAAUAUUUAAUGUAGAAAAUUGAGUUUGACUCUGAAUCGUUUUUACAUUUGUUCACUGUUUUAUAAAGUUUUUUUGACUUUUUAAAAUUAAUGCGAGGCUUUCCAUUUUGUUUGGUAUUCCAUUCAAUAAUGCAAGUUUUUUUCACUAACAAAUAAAAAUACAUAUCAAAGCUUUACAUUUCUGACAUUGAUUAAACUUUUGUCUUUGACACAUUUUCAAACGCAAAGGUAAUAAUGCAAUAUUUAAAUGGUAGCGAAAGAAAGAAAAUCUUAUAGAAAUAGAAUGACAACGAUAUUGUCAAAAAAGUAAUAGAAAUUUUAAAUUUGUAUACACCUACUACGGGAGUUUAUAAAUAAUCGUACAUUAUAGAUAAAUUGGAUGUAUUUAAAUUUACCUAAUUUACGAGAUUAAAUGAUAGACAAACAAAUUUAUCAUAAUAUAAAAUGCCGUUUUUGUAUAUUAAAAUAUUUUUGGAGAACAUAAUAAAUAGGACAGAUUCUGUACGAUGAAAUUCGAAUAAUGCCUGUAUGAAUAUUCUUUCCAUUGAAAUACCGUUCAAAACUUUUCCAUUUCAUUCAACUUUCCAUAAUACCUUGUAAAUGUAUUAUUCAUGGUAUCUCAUUUUGUGUAAGACUACUUAAAAACUAUGUAUCUGUACAGGCUUAUCAUAUGUCAUUAAAUGUUAGUUGAAAGUUUUUAUCAAGGUUUUAUCGUCGUAUUUUUAAAGGUGAAUUUAGGUUAAAAAGAAUUAUUGAAGAAUUGAUAUCCCUUAAAUAAUUUUUCCCAAGUUUUUUUUAAAUGUUUGGUAUGUAAAAAUAGAAAUAGAAGGAUUAGUAAAUAGUUUUAAAACAAAAACCACAAGUAUUUUAAAAUUAAAAUCAAUAAUAUUACUAAUAAUCUAAAAUUUCAGUAAAUUAUUAUAUUUUCCUCAAAAUGUACAAAACAUUCCAAAAUAAUAAUUUUAAUCGCUAAAAAAUUCUUAAUAUGUAAAAAAAGUAAUUUUCCCUGUAAACUCGGCGUUGAAUGAAUCAUCCACGUUUUUUAUUUUUAUAAAACUGUUUAAUAAUAUACUCAGUAAUGAUAUGUCAAACCAUAAAAACCCGGACUUAAGUUAUAAUGUUUUUGUUAAAGAAAUUUCGUUGUUUUAAAUAAUUUUUUUACAAAAAGUACUUAAAUUUUCGAAAAUAAAAAUGUUUCAAAUUUAAAUCAUCGAUUUUGUAAAUUGGCUACAAUAUUAUUAUAAUUCUACGUACAGCAGCACAACAAUAUCUUUAUUGACCUCAUAUUUUAACGUAAUGUUACGAUUGUAUUAUACGGAAAACGACGUUCGCAGUGUUACCAUUUUAUCAAAACAGAAUUCAUUAAAAUUAACCAAUUUCAUUCUUUUUAAUUUUUGUAAACUAUGUUUUCUACCAGAAAUAUUGUUCGAAUAGAAAAAUAACAAGUAAUUUUUUUUUUGAAUGUAGUUGGUAGGUAACAAAAAUGUUUUUUGAUUUUUCCUGUAGUUUUUUAAUAGUUGAGCAAAACUAAAAAAAAAUAAAGUAUGCACGGGAAAAUCAAAAAAAAAAAAUUCAUUUGUUUUUCAAUUUUUUUUUUUUUUAUUAUAAUUCAGUUUAAAAUAUUCGUAGAGACUUAAAAUCUGUUUAGAAAAUUGUGUUACGUACUGUGCUUUCUUAGCUUACCAUCAACCGCCACAGAUUAAUUUAUCCGUUGCUGUAACUGUUCGCCAAACCACUAGCGUCACAUCUUUUUCAGACGCAUACACACACAUACACACACACACACACACACACAUAAAUACAUACAGAAAUGGUAGGGUGCCCAAAACGUAUAAAGGUAUACACACACAUGUUGGCCGUUAUCCAAACGGACCUAAAGGUCUUGUCUCUCUGAAUCAGCAUCCCCUAAACACUCGCUUUACGUGUAUCGUCUCGUUCUUUUCCCUUCGCUUGACCUAUUCUGGGUUGGAGUAAACAUUCACCUUUUCCGAUUGCGACGUUUCCUGCGUAUUAUACGCGGAAGACCUAGUUAUUAUGUUUACACUGCGAAAGUACUCGAAAUCCGAAAGGUUAAUUUCCCACACAAGCGCGAGGAACUAAUCGAUUAAUUUUUUUCUACGACGACUGUUUUUGUUUUUUUUUUAUAUUUUAAUAAACGAAUAUUUUAGAUAAAAAAUCAAUUAAAUAUUUUAGUACAGGUUACGAUUUGGCUUAUCAUAUUUCAUAUUUAUCAUUCAGAUUUAAUUUGUAAUUAUCGCGUGAUAUUAAAUGUAUAUGUAGGUAUAUUCUUCACUAGCCUAUGCGCGUAUCUAGGUCAAUACUAUAUGGGGGGGGAAUACAAUUUUUUUGUGAGAGUGCCAUCCACAAGCCACUAACCUAACCCUCUUAAUUAAUCUCAGUUUUCCCUGAAAAUCAAUCUUAAUACACCGCAUAAAUAAACCAACUAGAUAAAAUUACCUUUUAGAAAAGGUGUUAAACUUUAUAGUUCAGAGCAAUUUUCUUGUAGAGAAUUUUCUUACAGACACAAUAAAAAAAAAAAAAAAAAAAAAUCAUAGUAAAACCCUGGCUACGCACUAAAUCUAAAAUUUUUUUAAUUUAACUCAUUUAAAAACAUUUUUUUUUUUUGUUUGGUAUAAAAAAAAACAAGUGUUGUAAAUUCAUGUGCAGUUCUCCAUAGCUAGGAAUAUCUUAGGUUAUGGUUGUGUUGUCCCAAGUUUUACGAGAUUUACCCGUUUACACGUGAGAAAUAACUAAAAUAUAGUCUAAUACGAAAUUAUGGUCAGUGAGCAGAUUUCCAUACUCUACGGAAAGUCACCUUAUUAGUAUUAUGCUUCUCGACAGAGGAGUAUGUGUGCCCUGUUGGAAUCGAUUAUUACAUGCAAAUGAGAUAGAUACAGCGUUGAAUGAAGUAACCUGUAUAAUAACAUAAUACUUGUAACCCAUUACAAUAUCAAAAUUAAACAUAAUGAAUGGAAUCAUCCCGCCAAACAUCAGAUAAGGAGUGUGCAUUAGAGAGGAAAUAACAAAACAUAUAGUAGAUGAUCUGCACCGGAUGAAUAGACAAGUAGCAUCCCUGAAGCGACUUAAAUCUUAAAUCAAGAUAAAAUUUCUUUGGAAUAUGUGAACCUCUAAUAGCGAGACCGAUUAAAAAAGUAGAAAGAGGAAUCAAUCGACUCUGACAUGACGUGAUAAUAAAACAAAUUUCAAAAUAAUCUGGAGCUGUAUGUAAAUGGACUAAAAUGGUAUUACAUAUAAUAUUGUACAUAGUGUAUACGGUAUAAUAUAAUGUAUACAUAAAUCGCAGUAUUGAGGUUGGGCAAUUCAAAUUGAGUUUUGAAUUUCGAAUAAAAGUAUUAGUCUUAAAUUCGUUAAUUUAACUGGUUAUUCGUGAAAAUGAACUGUAAAAAGUUAAGUUUAUGUUACGAAGACAUGGACUAGUUCAGUUAAUGAUCAAAUUACUUAACUAGAAAAGUUUAAAAAAGUUUAACAAAAUUAGCCUUUUAUCUAAUUAAUGCCCUCCUUUGGGUAUUUUCGUAUAUCUUUGUAGAUGCUUGUAUCGAAUUUAAUUCCCGGUGUAGAAUUACUUAUAUUAUUAUAAGAACUCAAAUAUAAAUUGCUUCUUUUUUUUUCUCUGUUUUUUAAUGAACCUCUAUUUUCUUUGUAUAUGUAAGACGCACGGGCAUAGUACUGAAUUCAAAUUAAAAUACCAUUUAUAAUUUGAAUUUCAUUGACACCAUUAAUAUCGUAGAGUUUAGAAGCAUGUCUGGUAAUAAAAAGUCUGAUUUUCUGUCUUUUUAUAACAAAUAACAUUUUUAUUUUAUAUAUGAAACAAUUUUUGUGAUUUUCGGUUGUUUAUCAGAAAUGGUAAUUAUUAACCGUUUAGCAGCGACCUUCCAAAAAUAUUAAUAUUUUUAAAAUGAUUUUGUAGGCAUUAAAUUGAAAUAUUAUUAUUACAAAUACAAAAUAAAUAUGUAUGGUUUUUUUUUUUUUAAAUUUGACGGAAUAAACAUUUGUUUGUUAACAAUUGUCGAUAUAAUUAAAUAAUUAUUAUAAAUAAAUUGAAUAGAUAAUCAAUAAUGAUUUGGUGCAUUAGAAGCUUAGACAUUUUGUGUAGUGAUUUAUUUUUGAUUCGAAUUUCGUCGAUGAUAUUUUUUGUAAAAAAAUAGAAUAGCAUAGUAUGUUAAACCCGAGAUGUAUAGUCAUACUCAAGAUAAAAUAUUAUGCACAUGUUUGUUUUGUAAAUACCUAAUCAACUCCAGCACGUGCUCUCUCCAAUUUCGUGAAAACACGAAGCUACAAUUUGUAUAAAGAAUAGGUAUCUACCGUAGUACCUACGUGAUAUCUUAGAACAUCACUUCAGAAUAAUAUUUGUUCAUUAUAGUUUAAGUCUAACAUUGUAUUGUUGAAUUUAAUAAACACAUUUAUUUGCAUUCUGCAGUGAUGAUUAAAAAAUAUUGCCCGACUGAAUAUUAUAUUAUGUUAUUGUUGUUUAUUUGUAAAGUGUAUAGAAGAUGAAUACUUAUAUAUCAUAUGUAUUUUAAUUCAAUUUGGUUUUUUUGUUUUCAGGUAUCUGAUUUAGAGUUUGAUACGUGUUUUAAAAUUAGUUCAGUUCGUGUACUCGUGUGGCUACUGUAUUUUGAAAACGAAUCAGGUAAAAUCUGC